rnacentral:rRNA from 1 species
UACGGGGGGUGCAAGCGUUAUCCGGAAUCACUGGGUUUAAAGGGUGCGUAGGCGGGAUAUUAAGUCAGUGGUGAAAGUCUGUUGCUUAACAAUAGAAUUGCCGUUGAUACUGAUGUUCUUGAAUUGGGUUGAGGUUGGCGGAAUGUGACAUGUAGCGGUGAAAUGCAUAGAUAUGUCAUGGAACACCAAUUGCGAAGGCAGCCAGCUGGGCCUUGAUUGACGCUGAGGCACGAAAGCGUGGGGAGCAAACAGG